AGGACGAACGCUGGCGGCGUGCUUAACACAUGCAAGUCGAGCGGAAAGGCCCUUUGGGGUACUCGAGCGGCGAACGGGUGAGUAACACGUGAGCAAUCUGCCCUUCACAUGGGAAUAACUUCGGGAAACCGAAGCUAAUACCGAAUACGACCACCGAUGGCAUCUUCUGGUGGUGGAAAGUUCCGGCGGUGAAGGAUGAGCUCGCGGCCUAUCAGCUAGUUGGUGAGGUAAUGGCCCACCAAGGCGACGACGGGUAGCCGGCCUGAGAGGGUGACCGGCCACACUGGGACUGAGACACGGCCCAGACUCCUACGGGAGGCAGCAGUGGGGAAUAUUGGACAAUGGGCGAAAGCCUGAUCCAGCAACGCCGCGUGAGGGAAGAAGGCCUUAGGGUUGUAAACCGCUUUCAGCAGGGAAGAAAAUGACGGUACCUGUAGAAGAAGGUGCGGCCAACUACGUGCCAGCAGCCGC
rnacentral:rRNA from 1 species